rnacentral:misc_RNA from 1 species
UACAGAGGGGGCAAGCGUUGAUCGGAAUUACUGGGGGUAAAGGGCGCGUAGGUGGUUUGUUAAGUUGGAUGUGAAAGACCCGGGCUCAACCUGGGAACUGCAUCUAAUACUGGCAAGCUAGAGUACGGUAGAGGGUGGUGGAAUUUCCUGUGUAGCGGUGAAAUGCGUAGAUAUAGGAAGGAACACCAAUGGCGAAGGCGACCACCUGGACUGAUACUGACACUGAGGUGCGAAAACGUGGGGAGCAAACAGG